rnacentral:lncRNA from 1 species
AUCCACCCCAAAAUACUUCAGUUCCAAUUAGUUUAUUUCCCCAUGUACCAGUCACUUAAAUACCUGAUCCUUGGAGGCCUUAUGCUUAUAAAUAUAAAGACAGAUAAAAAUCUGUGCCCUCAAAGACAACUUUCUCUUACAGAGCAGCACGGGAAGAAAUCUUCAUGAGAACACAGGAGUCGGAAGCAGCACAACCUCAGACACUAGUCCCAGUCCCCUCCACUAAGGAAACAUCAUCUCCCCCCAUGAGACCUCUCCCAAUCACUCCCAUCCACCUUAGAAUUCUCUGCUGCCCCCACCACUGCCCAACAAUUCAGAUCUACUCAUCUAUCAGUUUUCCUCUCUAGGAGUAAACCCAAGCUCCAGAGGGAGGGGCCUCCCCUCUGGCUUAGCGCCCCAUCUUCCUGAAUUAAAAUGCAGGUAGAAAACGUCACCUGACAAGAGAGCUGCUGUUUGUUCAAUGAACUGAAUGGCAGUGGCGUGAGGUACAAGGAAUGAUUGGUUCGUUUGGGGAUGGGUGUCAUGAAUUCUAAAAGGCUUUAUCAAAGUGGGUGGGAUUCCGAGUCAGGAAAGGGCCUUUAUAGACACAGGGACCAAUCCAAACCUGUGCUGGAGUCCACACAGGUCAGAUGUGGGACAGCAGAGCAAAACUCCAGCUGGGAAGACCUCUAGCCCCACCUGUUUUGCAAACGGGAAAAGAGCCCCAGGAGUGGCUCCCCCACGGUUGAGAAGUUAACUCAGCCCCGGCUUCACAAACCCCACGUGCAGUAUGGCAGUUAGUAUUUUUGGGCACCACCUUUCGGGUGUACCUGUCUCCUAUACACCUUGUGCCAAUAGGCACAAGGCAAGUCUCUUGCCCAGAACCAGUG